AUGCUGCCAGCGCUCUGCUCUCUCUUCACUGCUCUCUCAUGUGUCAGUGGUGUGAUUGUGGUGACGCAGAAGCCUCCUGUUCUCACACUGACUCAAGGACAGACGGCCACCAUGGACUGUAACCUGGGGACUGUUACUGAUCAAAGUGCACGCUGGUACAAACAGGUUCCUGGAGGAGUUACUCAGAAUGUGAUAAGACAUUAUCAUGAGUGGAGUUCUCCUGAAUAUGGAUCUGGUUUCUCAUCAUCUAAAUUCACAUCAACACACUCCUCUAAAUCAGAUUAUAAACUGAUUAUCAGUAAUGUGGAGGUGGGAGACUCAGCAGUGUAUUACUGUAACACAUGGGACGACUCUGCUAAAGAGCAUGUAUCACAGUGA